UACGUAGGGUGCAAGCGUUGUCCGGAAUUAUUGGGCGUAAAGAGCUCGUAGGCGGUCUGUCGCGUCGGCUGUGAAAACCCGAGGCUCAACCUCGGGCCUGCAGUCGAUACGGGCAAACUAGAGUACUGCAGGUGAGACUGGAAUUCCUGGUGUAGCGGUGAAAUGCGUAGAUAUCGUCUGGAACGCCAAAGGUGAAAACAGACUGCUGGGAGUGUGCUGACGCUGAGACACGAAAGCCAGGGGAGCAAACGGG
rnacentral:rRNA from 1 species